GUGACCAAGUGUCUCAUUUGAAUGUAUUUUCAGUUUGAUUCUACACGUGAAGUUUGCAUUCAGUGAUAUCACCACAUUGUUACAUGGACCUGGGCCAGUGUUUCUCCAUCUUUGUUGAGCGUUGGAAGGAGAUAGGAAGCUUGUGAAAAAUAUCAUGCUUGGGCCCAACCCCAUGGAUUCUGACUGGGGAGUUUUGGAGGUGUUAAAGAGAAAUUGAAGACAGACUAGCCCUGAGACUUCCCUCUUGAUAUUCCUGCUCCCCGCAACAUUCACUCAAUUAUUUUAUUAUGUGUUGACAUCAUUCUCAAUGGAAUGGAUGAUGGUAUUCUGGCAGAGUCUCCUUCCAAAUUUUGCUGAGUGUCACUAAACCACAGCAUCGAAAGGGACUUUAAAGAUCACCUCAUCCCAUCGGGUGCCCGGGUCCCCACCAUAUCAGCCUUCUGUGGUGCAAGUAAUAGAAACCAACUUUGUGUAAGUUAAACCAAAAAAGGUAUUUAUUCUAUUAAUACAGAUGGCUCAUAGAAUUAAAAAAAAAAAACCCUGAAGAACCGGCUAAGAGGAGUUAGAACCCAUAUUGACUCUGGGGAGCUAGGUGCUGGGUGCUGACAAUGUCUUUAAGUAUUACCCACUGAUGACCUCAGGGGUAUUAUUUUAGGGAGUUUUAAUGUCCCCUCGCCAACCCUCAGUCUGGGUAGUAGAGAUUCCUUAUAUUUAUUCAAAAUGCUAUGUACAAGUAGUUUAAAAUUGUCUCCCAAAACUUGCCCUCAACCAGAUUGCCACCCCAUCCUUUCUACACAGAAAUGAUAAG